rnacentral:lncRNA from 1 species
GAAAUUGAUGAAUCUAGUGGCCUUACAGAGUCUACAACAUCCAUGCCCGAUAUGUUAACCUUUUUACGACAGUGGCCGUACUUUGAUUGGAUGAAAAUUAUAUUCUCUGUGAUUGAAAUACAAGUCGAAGCUUUGUAUUUCUAUGCUCCCGUCAUCAACGAUGAGAGAAAAUGCUUCGAUAUGCACCAGCAAUUUCUUGAGAAUGCUUUCGUGCUCGGCUUUUUUCUUAUUUGCAUUCAUAUGGUUAUAUUUCUCUCGUACAAAAAUCCACUGGGCUUCGUCAUCAACUUUUUAAUCUACUAUUCCAUUCUAGCGGUGAGAUCAAUUCUUCAAGAGUUAUGUCUAAUUAUUACUCACAAUAUGAUAAAAUUAUCUUCGUUAUUAGUAAAAUCAUAUAUUUGCUCUGUUAUAAACAGAUGGCGGGUAUUAUUCUCCUUGAAAAACAGGGAUACCCAAUUUUUUUUGAUCCAAUGAAGUAUUUUAAAAUUCUUCUUUGUAUCCGGUACCUGGCAAGGAUUAUCAGUAUCUACUCGUUGUUUUCAAAGGCUGUAAGGAGUUCAACGGAACUUUCUGAAGCUAAAUGGGUUAAAAUUGCAGUCAACCUUUACCUUUACCUGCAAGCUGCCAAUGUUAGUAUUUUCCUUGCAAAAUUCUAUACCAUUUGAUGUACAAUUAUUUUUCAAGUUUUCUCAACUCUGCACUUCUUUUUGUUGAAUUAGUGGCUUGCUGGUGUUUUUAGGUAUUUGGAGGCUUAUGGUAUUUUAUGGCCAUAGAAAGAGUGACCGAAUGCUGGACGAAAGCAUGCAUAAAUCAUACCGGACAGCAUUGUCACUUUUCCUGUCGUGUGAAUUUAGAAGAAGAUAGAACAUAUAUAAAUGGAUUUUGUCCCACAAAGAUACGAAAUACGACAAUCCAUGACUUUGGAAUAUUCCAUGGUGCUCUUGAGUCUGGUAUAGUGGAGGGGACAAGUAUUCUGCAAAAGCUUUUACAUUGUUUUGUAUGGGGCCUGCAAAAUCUCAGGUUUGUGCACGUAUGAUGCUUAUCUCCCUGGUGGAAGUAUGUUCAGGUGAUGAGGUUAUCGCCAUUUGUCAUUGGUGAUAAAUCUUUCUAAUGUUAACAUCAUUUUUUUAUGAUCAAUUCAAUUGCCGUUCUUUAACAAUACCAAUAUAUUAAGAAUACCAAUUGUAGCUCAGGCAUUAUCAAUUUUAUUGUGCAAUGUCUACUGCCUCUCUGUUUAUUUUAUCAUUGUCCUGCUUCAGUCACCUAUCUCCAUUUUCAAUCACAUUCGGAUGAUUGAUUUGGGAGUGAAUGGAGGUUUAAAACAGGUCAUUGGUAUUAGAGAUAAAGGGAAUGAAGUUGAAUAGAGAAUGGAAUUAAUUUGAUACUCUGGUUGAGUGUUUGGGUAUGCUUUCACAUAGCCUUUUCCUGACCAUGUACGCAACUGAGUGUUGGCUUAUUAUCUGGUACUUGUUGCAAGAUUAUGGUAAAUGGCUUGUGAAACUUUAUGUUUUCUGGAAACACAUUCCUUUUCUUCUGCUGAAAUUUUCAUUUGGUUGCAUCUAUAAGCCCUUCCUCAACGUGUUGAGCCAUAUUUUUAAAUUUAAAAUUUUUAUUUUCUUAUUCUCGUUUAUCAAACUGUCAUCUGCCAUAAAGCUUCACUACUUUCAAACAUAUGGAAGUUGCAACUUGUAAGAUUAAUGCCUCAUGAAUUUAACUAAUUGCAGUAAUUUAGGUCACGACUUGCAAUCAGGUAGCGAUGUCUGGGAAAACAUCUUUGUGAUUUUGGUUGUCAGCUCCGGUUUCCUGUUCUUUGCCCUUCUGAUUGGAAAUAUGCAGGUUUCUAUGUCUUUCUUUGUUGUUACGUCUUUAUUUACUUUCAUAUGCUUGAGUUGAACCACUAUAUGAAGUUUUAUUUUCAUGAACUUUGGUUCUUGUCAAACAGAUAUAUCUACAGUCCAGAACUGUCAGAUUAAAGGAGAUGACAGUGAAGCCUCGAGAGAUAGAGGAGUGGAAGCCCUUCCAAAACCUCUCCGCGAAUCUCCAACAAGAGAUGAAGAAGUAUAAGCCUUACAUACGGCGAAAAACCAAUCACAUUGACAUAGAAAAUUUACUCAAUAAUAUUCCCAAGGAACUCGGAAAGAAAAUAAAGCGAGAACUAUGCUGGCAUCUGCUAAAGAAAGUGAGCUUCUUUUAUCUCUCUAGAAUUGCUCAUCUAUGCUCGUGGUAGACAUAAAAUUUUCUUGUCACUUCUUUCCUUUGAUUAUCAAUUUAUGAAAUUAGCAAAGAAGAAACUAAUAUCUUACCAACAUUUUGGAGAGAAGACUAGGAAAUAAAACAAAAUGUUCAAUACAGUAGGAGUUCGCAAAUAGCUAUUCAUAAGUAACCAAGCCAAUGGAAAUUGAACAUCAUUUUUAGCAUAUCAGGUUAGUAGCCAUAACAAGUUGUAACUAUUAGCCUCUGAAUACUAGUCCACACUUGUAUUGCUGGGGAGGGGAUAUAUUCUCAUUCUUAUUCUUGAAUAUCUAUCAAGGUACAUGAGUUCAGGAUGCUAAAGGAAGAAACAUUGGAUGCUCUGUGUGAUUGUGUCAAACCAACUUUCUUCACUGAGCACGCUCACAUUAUCCGGGAAGGAGACCCAAUUGAUGAGUUGAUUUUCGUGAUGCAAGGCAACCUAUGGACCUACUCCUUUAAUGAUUUAACAAAUGGCUCCACAAGGAAAAGGGAUCAUCUGGAAGAUUCUGACUUCUAUGGAGCAGAACUUGUUGAUUGGGCUCUGAGAGACUGCUCUUUAUUUGAAUUCUCCAAGUCAACCAAAACCAUUGAAGCUCUUACAAAUAUUGAAGCCUUUACUCUUAUGGCUGAUGACCUGAAAAUUGUGUUCAAUGAGAAGAUGAAUCAGGCAGCAUUGGUCAUACAAUUGGCCUGGCGGCAUUAUACUAGAAGGCAAUCAUUAUGCUGUCAUUUGGAUUAGUGUUCGAUUUUAGGGUUAGUUUUAUCAUUGACUAACUGGAUUGCUAUAUAAUGUUCUACAGGAAAUUCAGGUUUCCCAAGAGAAGACCAUCGCCACUGUAUGUACCUCUCCGAGACAAAGUGAAGGAAAAGACGCCUAUACCUCAACGAAGCAAAGUGAAGGAAAAGACACCUUUACCUCAACAAGACAAAGUGAAGGUAAUGACACCUGUACCUCAACGAAGCAAAGUGAAGGAAAAGACGCCUGUACCUCAACGAAGCAAAGUGAAGGAAAAGACGCCUGUACCUCAACAAAGCAAAGUGAAUGAAAAGACACCUUUACCUCAACGAGGCAAAGUGAACAAAAGGACGCUUCCACCUAAACGGUUCAGUGUGAAAAUAAAGAUCAUUGGAACUCUCCUCCGAAGGUUUUAAAGACAUUGAAGUCCCCUUAGGAUGGAUCGCCGAAAUAUAAAUUAUUGUCCUUGCAUUCCAUUAAUAUAUAACAAAAAUAGGCUUUAUUUAUUUUAAGAACUGAUCUUUGAACUACUUGCGUUUUGUUCAGUGUGGCGAAAGUGGUUACAAGAGAUCCAUAUUCUGCUUUCGAAAUUUAUGAACCUAGUGGCUCUUCAAUUUCCGGGAAGUCUCAAAGAGAUUCAUCUUCUGCUCUCGAAAUUUAUGAACCUAGUGGCUCUUCAAUUUCCAGGAAGUUUCAAAGAGAUUCAUCUUCUGCUCUUGAAAUUGAUGAACCUAGUGGCUCUUCAAUUUCUGGGAAGUCUCAGAGAGAUCCAUCUUCUGCUCUCGAAAUUGAUGAACCUAGUGGCUCUUCAAUUUCCGCGAAGUCUCAAAGAGAUCCGUCUUCUGCUCUCGAAAUUUAUGAACCUAGUGGCUCUUCAUUUUCCGAGAAGUCUCAAAGAGAUCCAUCUUUUGGUCUCAAAAUGGAUGAACCUAGUGGCUCUUCAAUUUCCGGGAAGUCUCAAAGAGAUCCAUCUUCUGCUCUCGAAAUUAAUGAACCUAGUGGCUCUUCAAUUUCCAAGAAGUCUCAAAGAGAUCCAUCUUCUGCUCUCAAAAUUUAUGAACCUAGUGGCGCUUCAAUUUCCGGGAAGUCUAAAAGAGAUCCAUCUUCUGCUCUCGAAAUUUAUGAACCUAGUGGCUUUACAGAGUUGACAACAUCCAAUGUCAAAAGAUUACUCUACAAAAUGAAAAAUAUUUUCCUACGGUGGCCGUACUUUGAUUGGAUGCAAAUGAUAUUGGUUGUGACUGUAAUAUCAGUCGAUCCUUUGUUUUUCUA